UCCCUGGAGGACUUGUGGUUAGGCUCUCGGUGCUCUGGCUGCUGUGGCUUGGGUUCGAUUCCCGGCCAGGGAA